AAUCUUCCACAAUGGAGGGAAGUCUGAUGGAGCAACGCCGCGUGAGCGAAGAAGGUUNNNGGUUCNUAAAGCUCUGUUGUAAGNGAANAACACGUACGGGAGUCAGUGCCCGUACCUUGACGGUACCUUAUCAGAAAGCCACGGCUAACUACUUGCCAGCAGCCGCGGUAAUACGUAGGUUGCAAGCGUUGUCCGGAAUUAUUGGGCGUAAAGCGCGCGCAGGCGGUCCUUUAAGUCUGAUGUGAAAGCCCACGGCUCAACCGUGGAGGGUCAUUGGAAACUGGAGGACUUGAGUACAGAAGAGGAAAGCGGAAUUCCACGUGUAGCGGUGAAAUGCGUAGAGAUGUGGAGGAACACCAGUGGCGAAGGCGGCUUUCUGGUCUGUAACUGACGCUGAGGCGCGAAAGCGUGGGGAGCAAACAG
rnacentral:rRNA from 1 species